GGAAGGAUCAUUAACGAUUUCGGUUUACACCGUUUUCUACCUAUGUCUACGCGUACCACAUGUUUCCUCGGGGGCUUGCCCCCCGUUAGGACUCACUAUCAACCUUUUUGCAAUAGCAGUCAGCGUCUGAUAAAUAAUUUAAUUAUUAAAACUUUCAACAAUGGAUCUCUUGGUUCUGGCAUCGAUGAAGAACGCAGCGAAAUGCGAUAAGUAGUGUGAAUUGCAGAAUUCAGUGAAUCAUCGAAUCUUUGAACGCACAUUGCGCCCCUUGGUAUUCCAUGGGGCAUGCCUGUUCGAGCGUCAUUUGAACCCUCAAGCUCUGCUUGGUGUUGGGUGUUUGUCCCGCUAUUGCGCGUGGACUCGCCUUAAAGUAAUUGGCAGCCAUGUAAUUCGGCUUUGAGCGCAGCACAUUGCGUACUCUAUGCUGGUACAUUGGCAUCCAGAAGCCUUUUUUUACUCUUGACCUCGGAUCAGGUAGGGAUACCCGCUGAACUUAAGCAUAUCAAUAAGCGGAGGAAAAGAAACCAACAGGGAUUGCCCUAGUAACGGCGAGUGAAGCGGCAACAGCUCAAAUUUGAAAUCUGAUCUCUUCGAGGUCCGAGUUGUAAUUUGUAGAGGGCGCUUUGGUGUUGGCUGCGGUCUAAGUUCCUUGGAACAGGACGUCAUAGAGGGUGAGAAUCCCGUCUGUGGUCGCAUGUCUUCACCGUGUAAAGCCCCUUCGACGAGUCGAGUUGUUUGGGAAUGCAGCUCUAAAUGGGAGGUAAAUUUCUUCUAAAGCUAAAUACUGGCCAGAGACCGAUAGCGCACAAGUAGAGUGAUCGAAAGAUGAAAAGCACUUUGGAAAGAGAGUCAAACAGCACGUGAAAUUGUUGAAAGGGAAGCGCUUGCAGCCAGACUUGCUUGCAGUUGCUCAUCCGGGCGCUCGCCCGGUGCACUCUUCUGUAGGCAGGCCAGCAUCAGUUUGGGCGGUUGGAUAAAGGCCUCUGUCAUGUAUCUUCUCCGGAAGACCUUAUAGGGGAGGCGUAAUGCAACCAGCCUGGACUGAGGUCCGCGCAUCUGCUAGGAUGCUGGCGUAAUGGCUGUAAGCGGCCCGUCUUGAAACACGGACCAAGGAGUCUAACAUCUAUGCGAGUGUUUGGGUGUCAAGCCCGGGCGCGCAAUGAAAGUGAACGGAGGUGGGAACCCUUCGGGGUGCACCAUCGACCGAUCCUGAUGUCUUCGGAUGGAUUUGAGUAAGAGCAUAGCUGUUGGGACCCGAAAGAUGGUGAACUAUGCUUGAAUAGGGUGAAGCCAGAGGAAACUCUGGUGGAGGCUCGCAGCGGUUCUGACGUGCAAAUCGAUCGUCAAAUUUGGGCAUAGGGGCGAAAGACUAAUCGAACUAUCUAGUAGCUGGUUCCUGC
rnacentral:misc_RNA from 1 species